UUUCCAACCAAGUUACGUGCAUUUCAAGUACUGACGAAGAAUAAAGUGAAUCUCAACAAGAUAACACGGAUUGAGAAAAUGGGAAAACAAAAUAAGUAUACGAGUACCAAACUGCCAAUUAAAUGAUUUGUUUGCUCCAAACGCUUCAUGAGUGCUGUUUGUAGUAAUUCUUGUCAUUAGUCAUGCCUGUCCUUAAUUGCAUAUCUGUUUUGUUUUUAGAAGUUCUGAAGACAUUGGAAAUAUUGUCAAUGAAGUUACUGGGAAAGGGUACCUGUUGAAGGAUUAUUGGUUGGGAUAAGGCCUAGAUGAUGAUGAUGAUGUUGCUUCAUAUUCACUUCUUCAGUUACAUUUGCAAAUACAGUCAUCUUAGUUUGAGGCUAUCAACCAAACUCAUCUUAGCCUGUGAUUACUUUUUUAUUUUCAAUGGUUGGCAUGCUAUUAUUUUUUCUUUAACUUGUAGGAAAACUCUCAAAUGAUUAAAAUUGUAUGUCCUUGAGCGACUUAUGUUAGCAUGACCAGAUACUUUCUAAAUGUUACAGUUUUCUGCUAUUAGCAUAAAACUUGGUCUGUAAUUGGUUGGAGUGAGUUUUACAGUUUUACUACGUUUUCACGUAACAAGUUGUAUUCAACACUGGGGUUCCCGGCGUAGAUUUUCUUGCUGUUCCAAUCAACAAUGUUAUUGCGGACA